rnacentral:rRNA from 1 species
UACGUAGGGGGCAAGCGGUGUCCGGAUUUACUGGGCGUAAAGAGCGUGUAGGCGGCCACGCAGGUCCGUUGUGAAAACUGGAGGCUCAACCUCCAGACGUCGACGGAAACCGUAUGGCUAGAGUCCGGAAGAGGAGAAUGGAAUUCCUGGUGUAGCGGUGAAAUGCGCAGAUAUCAGGAAGAACACCCGUGGCUAAGGCGGUUCUCUAGUACGGUACUGACGCUGAGACGCGAAAGCGUGGGGAGCGAACAGG